CCGAACAAUACUGAAUAUAUACAUAUUUAUACCACAUUACAUAAAGUCAUCUAUACAUGCCAUGUUUCCAAAGUAUUAAUUGCAAAAUACCCAAAAAGUUGAUGAUAGUGUGGAUGAUUAUCUGACGUCGUCCAAGUUCCGAGCUGAUUGAUGUCACUAUAAUCAAGGGAAAAUAAAAACGAGUAAGCAUAUAGCUUAGUAAGUAAACAUAUGACCAAUAAAUAAAUUCCUCACAUGAUUACAUAGUAACAUAAUUUUAAUCACACAUAAAUUUCAUUGUUUGUUCAAUUUCCAGCAAGCUGUUUUUCUGCGUCACGGUCACUAAUUUAUUUUUAUCUGGAGCUACAGGGCUCCAAAUUAAGUUCCGUAAAUUUUCUUCAAAACUAGAUUCAUAUAACUUUCCACCAUAAAAUUUUCAGAAUUUUUGGUUUGGCCAAUUAGUACAUUUUAUUCUCUAAAGAUUCCCCUGUUUCACUGCUCGACAGUUCAAACAAUGUUCUCGUUUGUUUAUAUUAAAAAUAGACUCGUUAAGGAAUCCAAACAUAUAAAUUUCAGGCCAUAAUUAUGUUUUUACAAUUUAUGGUGAUUUUCCAAAGUUGGAACAGGGGAUUUCGAAAUCAAUUCAACCCUGUCUCAAUAAAAUUCAAAUAUCCCAAAAUAUACAACUCUUUUGCUUGCUCUAUUUCUUUCAUAUGAAAAUAAACUCAUCCAGCUUCAAUUUCAUAUAUUAUUCAACCUCUAAUUCAUUUUCCUCCAUUUAUGGUGAUUUUUCAAAGUUGCCCAACUGUUAUUAUUCAAAACAGUUUUGUAUUUAAAUUGUUCUUUUGUAUUUUUGAUAUUUCCUCCCAUAUUACAUAUGGGUUGAUUAAGUAUCAAACCCAAUAUUCCUCCCAUAAACUUGUCCACCAUAUAUAAAUAUUCACCUUUUCAAUUUCCUCGUUGAACACUCGGAAUGUUAUCCGUUAUCGGUGGAUUCAGCACUUAGCAACCACCAAUUAGUCGGGGAAUUAGCACUUAGCAACCCCUUUCACAUUUAAGAUACGGUGGGAUCAGCACUUAGCAACCCCUCGGGGGAAUCAGCACUUAGCAACCCCCUUCACAUUUAAGAUACGGUGGAAUCAGCACUUAGCAACCACCAAUGAGUCGGGGAAUCAGCACUUAGCAACCCCUUUCACAUUUAAGAUACGGUGGAAUCAGCACUUAGCAACCACCAAUGAAUCGGGGAAUCAACACUUAGCAACCCCCUUUAUAUUCGAUGUAAUCCGGCCUAUUCCGAGUGUUCAACCGGAAACCGUGUUUUUCAACACUUUACCACCUUUCCCAACUUAACCACACUUUUAGAAUCUUUGCCAAAUAUUUAAUCUAUGUUCAAAUAAAUCUCAACAUAUAUCAAAUAAUAUCAAAAAUAUGCAUUAUUUCACAUGUUUACUUACCUCGGUGCAAAAUAUCGUAAUUUUGCAAUUUACUCCACUAUCUUCUCUUUUCCCCGUUUGAGGUAGUCUUCUCAUCUUUCUUGAUCUAUAAUAGAAAAUUUAACUCAUUUAAUGUUAAAAUUUAAUAAAAUAGUCCUCCACCCAACUUUUUGAAAAAUUACAAUUUUUCCCCCAAACUUUUGAAUGUUUACACUUUUGUCCCUAAGCUCGGAAAUUAAAUUUAAUCUCUUAUUCUUAUGUUUUACAACAUGCUGAACACUUUUCCCUUCUAUGGAAACAUCAAAUUCUCACUCUAACACGUACUUUUGAACAUUAACUAUUUUUACCGAUUAUGUCAAUUUACACGUUUUGUUUAAAAUCGCUUAGCAAAAGUUGUUUAACAUAAUUUCUAGCUUCAUAUUCCACCAUAAAACAGCAAAAUAAAAACUUUUCACCUAUGGGUAUUUUUCCAAAUAUAAACCCUAGGUUAAAUUAUUGCUAGAAUAACCUAAAUUAAGCUACCGAGACUCCAAAAACAUAAAGAACAUUAAAAACGGGGCUUGGAAUCACUUACUAUUGAGCUUGGAAGCUUAAAAACCCUAACUAUGGCUUCCCCCUUGCUGAUUUCGUU
rnacentral:lncRNA from 1 species